UUAGGAAUAUUCGUCAAUGGGGGAAACCCUGAACGAGCAAUGCCGCGUGAGUGAUGACGGUCCUCUGGAUUGUAAAACUCUGUUGUUUAGGAAAAAUUGUACAAGCAGGAAAUGGUUUGUGCUUGAUGGUACUAUUCAAGAAAGCCACGGCUAACUACGUGCCAGCAUCCGCGGUAAUACGUAGGUGGCGAGCGUUAUCCGGAUUUAUUGGGCGUAAAGCGUCCGCAGACGGUUUGUUAAGUCUAGAAUCAAAGCCCGGAGCUUAACUUCGGUUCGUUUUAGAAACUGGCAGACUUGAGUGUAGUAGAGGCAAGUGGAAUUUCUAGUGUAGCGGUAGAAUGCGUAGAUAUUAGAAGGAACACCAGUGGCGAAGGCGACUUGCUGGGCUAUUACUGACGUUCAUGGACGAAAGCGUGGGGAGCAAAUAGG
rnacentral:rRNA from 1 species